CCACAGCUCUCCAUAGAAAUCUCAAGGACACAACUUUUCCCCCCAUCUUGUGGAAGGAUGACAUUUUCUGAUAUUUGCUUCAAACUCUGAGUGAGACCCUAUGCAGGUCCCACAGGUUAUUUUAAUCUAUCUUCCUCACUGACACAAGUUCUAUUGGGGCUGAGACCAGAGAAGACAAUGUGAGACCCUGCAUCCAACAGUAUUCCUUUUAGAAACUAUGCCCAGACUGAGUGGGUGCAUUUUUGUUCUAAUACUUUUUCUCUUCUGUAGUUUACACAGUAGGAGAUAAUCUUUGAUAUGGCAACUAUGUCAUUCCCCUCAGUGUGCCCAACAACUCACAUCUCAU
rnacentral:lncRNA from 1 species